rnacentral:rRNA from 1 species
AUUGAACGCUGGCGGCAGGCCUAACACAUGCAAGUCGAACGGUAACAGAAAGCAGCUUGCUGCUUUGCUGACGAGUGGCGGACGGGUGAGUAAUGUCUGGGAAACUGCCUGAUGGAGGGGGAUAACUACUGGAAACGGUAGCUAAUACCGCAUAACGUCGCAAGACCAAAGAGGGGGACCUUCGGGCCUCUUGCCAUCGGAUGAGCCCAGAUGGGAUUAGCUAGUAGGUGGGGUAAAGGCUCACCUAGGCGACGAUCCCUAGCUGGUCUGAGAGGAUGACCAGCCACACUGGAACUGAGACACGGUCCAGACUCCUACGGGAGGCAGCAGUGGGGAAUAUUGCACAAUGGGCGCAAGCCUGAUGCAGCCAUGCCGCGUGUAUGAAGAAGGCCUUCGGGUUGUAAAGUACUUUCAGCGGGGAGGAAGGGAGUAAAGUUAAUACCUUUGCUCAUUGACGUUACCCGCAGAAGAAGCACCGGCUAACUCCGUG